GACGAACGCUGGCGGCGUGCCUAACACAUGCAAGUCGAACGGAACUCGGGACUUCGGUUCUGAGUUUAGUGGCGAACGGGUGAGUAACGCGUGAGGAACCUGCCUUUCAGUGGGGGACAACAGUUGGAAACGACUGCUAAUACCGCAUAAUGUAUCGAAGGGGCAUCCCUUUGAUACCAAAGCUUUAUGUGCUGAAAGAUGGCCUCGCGUCUGAUUAGAUAGUUGGUGAGGUAACGGCUCACCAAGUCUGCGAUCAGUAGCCGGUCUGAGAGGAUGAACGGCCACAUUGGGACUGAGAUACGGCCCAG
rnacentral:rRNA from 1 species